UAGAGCACUGGAUAGGCGAUGGGCCCUACCGGGUUACUGACCUUAGCCAAACUCCGAAUGCCGGUAAGUGAGAGCGCGGCAGUGAGACUGUGGGGGAUAAGCUCCAUGGUCGAGAGGGAAACAGCCCAGAGCAUCGACUAAGGCCCCUAAGCGUACGCUAAGUGGGAAAGGAUGUGGAGUCGCACAGACAACCAGGAGGUUGGCUUAGAAGCAGCCACCCUUGAAAGAGUGCGUAAUAGCUCACUGGUCUAGUGAUUCCGCGCCGACAAUGUAGCGGGCUCAAGCGUACCGCCGAAGUCGUGUCAUUGCGAUAUAUACCCCCAACGGGGAUCGUGAUGGGUAGGGGAGCGUCGUGUGCCGGGUGAAGCAGCACCGGAAGGUAGUUGUGGACGGUUCACGAGUGAGAAUGCAGGCAUGAGUAGCGAUUCACACGUGAGAAACGUGUGCGCCGAUUGACUAAGGGUUCCUGGGUCAAGCUGAUCUGCCCAGGGUAAGUCGGGACCUAAGGCGAGGCCGACAGGCGUAGUCGAUGGAUAACCGGUUGAUAUUCCGGUACCCGCUGUGAAGCGUCAAACAUCGAAUCCAGUGAUGCUAAGCCCGUGAAGCCGUUCCGGACCCUUCGGGGAAAGGAAAGUGGUGGAGCCGGUGACCCGAUCUGGUAGUAGGUGAGUGAUGGGGUGACGCAGGAAGGUAGUCCAGCCCGGGCGGUGGUUGUCCCGGGGUAAGGGUGUAGGCCGUGCGGUAGGUAAAUCCGUCGCACACAAGGCUGAGACCUGAUGCCGAGCCGAUUGUGGUGAAGUGGAUGAUCCUAUGCUGUCGAGAAAAGCCUCUAGCGAGUUUCAUGGCGGCCCGUACCCUAAACCGACUCAGGUGGUCAGGUAGAGAAUACCGAGGCGUUCGGGUGAACUAUGGUUAAGGAACUCGGCAAAAAUGCCCCCGUAACUUCGGGAGAAGGGGGGCCACAUCUGGUGAUGAGCUUUGCGCUCUGAGCUGGGGGUGGCCGCAGAGACCAGCGAGAAGCGACUGUUUACUAAAAACACAGGUCCGUGCGAAGCCGUAAGGCGAUGUAUACGGACUGACGCCUGCCCGGUGCUGGAACGUUAAGGGGACCGGUUAGCUCCAUUUCGGUGGGGCGAAGCUGAGAACUUAAGCGCCAGUAAACGGCGGUGGUAACUAUAACCAUCCUAAGGUAGCGAAAUUCCUUGUCGGGUAAGUUCCGACCUGCACGAAUGGCGUAACGACUUCUCGACUGUCUCAACCAUAGGCCCGGUGAAAUUGCACUACGAGUAAAGAUGCUCGUUUCGCGCAGCAGGACGGAAAGACCCCGGGACCUUUACUACAGUUUGAUAUUGGUGUUCGGUUCGGCUUGUGUAGGAUAGCUGGGAGACUGUGAAGCGCUAACGCCAGUUAGUGUGGAGUCGUCGUUGAAAUACCAGUCUGGUCGUGCUGGAUGUCUAACCUGGGUCCGUGAUCCGGAUCAGGGACAGUGUCUGAUGGGUAGUUUAACUGGGGCGGUUGCCUCCUAAAGAGUAACGGAGGCGCCCAAAGGUUCCCUCAGCCUGGUUGGCAAUCAGGUGUUGAGUGUAAGUGCACAAGGGAGCUUGACUGUGAGACCGACGGGUCGAGCAGGGACGAAAGUCGGGACUAGUGAUCCGGCGGUGGCUUGUGGAAGCGCCGUCGCUCAACGGAUAAAAGGUACCCCGGGGAUAACAGGCUGAUCUUCCCCAAGAGUCCAUAUCGACGGGAUGGUUUGGCACCUCGAUGUCGGCUCGUCGCAUCCUGGGGCUGGAGUCGGUCCCAAGGGUUGGGCUGUUCGCCCAUUAAAGCGGUACGCGAGCUGGGUUUAGAACGUCGUGAGACAGUUCGGUCCCUAUCCGCUGUGCGCGUAGGAGUCUUGAGAAGGGCUGUCCCUAGUACGAGAGGACCGGGACGGACGAACCUCUGGUGUGCCAGUUGUUCUGCCAAGGGCAUGGCUGGUUGGCUACGUUCGGGAGGGAUAACCGCUGAAAGCAUCUAAGCGGGAAGCCUGCUUCGAGAUGAGGACUCCCACCUCCUAGAGAGGGUAAGGCUCCCAGUAGACGACUGGGUUGAUAGGCCGGAUAUGGAAGCACGGUAACGUGUGGAGUUGACCGGUACUAAUAGGCCGAGGGCUUGUCCU
rnacentral:rRNA from 1 species